GGGUGCUGACGAGUGGCGAACGGGUGAGUAAUGUAUCGGAACGUGCCCAGUCGUGGGGGAUAACGCAGCGAAAGCUGCGCUAAUACCGCAUACGAUCUACGGAUGAAAGCGGGGGACCGUAAGGCCUCGCGCGAUUGGAGCGGCCGAUAUCAGAUUAGGUAGUUGGUGGGGUAAAGGCUCACCAAGCCAACGAUCUGUAGCUGGUCUGAGAGGACGACCAGCCACACUGGGACUGAGACACGGCCCAGACUCCUACGGGAGGCAGCAGUGGGGAAUUUUGGACAAUGGGCGCAAGCCUGAUCCAGCAAUGCCGCGUGCAGGAAGAAGGCCUUCGGGUUGUAAACUGCUUUUGUACGGAACGAAACGGUCCUGGUUAAUACCUGGGGCUAAUGACGGUCCGU
rnacentral:rRNA from 1 species